rnacentral:rRNA from 1 species
UAGGGAAUCUUCGGCAAUGGACGAAAGUCUGACCGAGCAACGCCGCGUGAGUGAAGAAGGUUUUCGGAUCGUAAAACUCUGUUGUUAGAGAAGAACAAGGACGUUAGUAACUGAUCGUCCCCUGACGGUAUCUAACCAGAAAGCCACGGCUAACUACGUGCCAGCAGCCGCGGUAAUACGUAGGUGGCAAGCGUUGUCCGGAUUUAUUGGGCGUAAAGCGAGCGCAGGCGGUUUCUUAAGUCUGAUGUGAAAGCCCCCGGCUCAACCGGGGAGGGUCAUUGGAAACUGGGAGACUUGAGUGCAGAAGAGGAGAGUGGAAUUCCAUGUGUAGCGGUGAAAUGCGUAGAUAUAUGGAGGAACACCAGUGGCGAAGGCGGCUCUCUGGUCUGUAACUGACGCUGAGGCUCGAAAGCGUGGGGAGCAAACAGG